GCGCCUAUAGCUCAACUGGAUAGAGCGUCAGACUACGGAUCUGAAGGUUUAAGGUUCGACUCCUUAUAGGCGCACCA
rnacentral:tRNA from 1 species